UAUAUUUUAGUAUAUGAUGUACAGGGGUUUUUGAUAUUUCAGGAGAUGGUUUGAUUCCAUAAAAUAUAA
rnacentral:tRNA from 1 species